UUAAUGUUAAGUGAACAGAUAAUGUUAAUGUUAUCCGGCUGUUAUGCUACCGGUUAACAGCAAUAUGUUGCUGGUUUUGUUAUUGUAAAAUUUAUUGUUGGAGCGUGCGGUCGGUCCGUCGGUAGUGCGGUUUGCGAAGUUUCUUAAAAAGUGAUCCAAUUUUGGAAAUUGUUGAUACACAACAACAAUUUAAAAAUGUGUCUAUGAAUAUAAAUAGCGCGAACAACAACAAUACAGACCGAGUGUUGAAAAAUGUUCAAUUUAUUUAUUUAAUAAUCACACACAACAAAAUCAAAUUGGAUGAAAAAGAAAUAUAAAAAACAACUGCCGCAGUAUCCGCAUCAUCAACAAAAACAACUUUAACGAUUGCUAAAUUUUGAUAUUUGCAUGGCCUAGCAAAUUCUUCUAACGCCUUUUUAUGAACCCAACGAAUACUGCAACAAGCCUCCUUAAUCCCCCGCCACUCAUCUAGACAAUUUUAGAA